CCUACGGGUGGCAGCAGUGAGGAAUAUUGGUCAAUGGACGAGAGUCUGAACCAGCCAAGUAGCGUGAAGGAUGACUGCCCUAUGGGUUGUAAGCUUCUUUUAUAUGGGAAUAAAAUGUUCCACGUGUGGGAUUUUGUAUGUACCAUAUGAAUAAGGAUCGGCUAACUCCGUGCCAGCAGCCGCGGUAAUACGGAGGAUCCGAGCGUUAUCCGGAUUUAUUGGGUUUAAAGGGAGCGUAGGUGGAUUGUUAAGUCAGUUGUGAAAGUUUGCGGCUUAACCGUAAAAUUGCAGUUGAAACUGGCAGUCUUGAGUACAGUAGAGGUGGGGGGAAUUCGAGGUGUAGCGGUGAAAUGCGUAGAGAUCACGAAGAACUCCGAUGGCGAAGGCAGCUCACUGGACUGAAACUGACACUGAGGCUCGAAAGCGUGGGGAGCAAACAGGAUUAGAUACCUUUGUAGUC
rnacentral:rRNA from 1 species